CAGAUAAACCACAGACAGUUUUAAGUGUUUCUCCACAGCAGUGGUUGACUGAAGGAGAUUCAGUGACUCUGAUGUGUGAGGUUAGAAGUUCAUCUACAGGCUGGACAUUCAGCUGGUUCACUUACAAAGAGAAAGAUGACUAUCAGCUUGUGUCAGACAGCAUUCGAGGAUCUAAAGGCAUCUACACAGUGAGUUCAGUGACUGUGAAGCACACAGGAGUUUAUGGUUGCAGAGCAGAGAGAGGAGAUCCAGUCUAUCACACAGAGUUCAGCAACACAAAGCCACUGUUUGUCAAUGAUAUAUCGAAGCUACAGUAAUACAGUGGACAACUGUGAGGAUGAUAUCAUAUGCCCCUGAACUGUGAUAAUGAAACACAAUGGGAGGAUCCAUCUACACUUCAAAAUCACAACUAACCUUAAAGACCCUACAUCUGAUAUGGGAAAACAAUAGAGAAGUUACCAGACAGGGCUUAUCUUGAUCCCAGCUAAAAUGCAUGUUUGAGCUGCAAUAAUUAAAAAAAACUUUGUACUAACAUACCUCAACAUAUACAAGUGCCAUUGUUUUGUCUCAAGAUGCACACCAGUGUUGUUUUUUGUAGGGUUUGUUUGUAAAUAUGUCCUCCUAUAAUACUGUGAAAUCACUUUUAAAGUUGUCUGAAUUAAGUACUUAUGCAUAUUAGUUAUACAAUAUAAAAUUUUGAUAAUUAAGGUAAUUAUCUUCAUGAAACGUGAUC